rnacentral:rRNA from 1 species
GACGAACGCUGGCGGCGUGCUUAACACAUGCAAGUCGAACGGUGAACCUCUUCGGAGGGGUUCAGUGGCGAACGGGUGAGUAACACGUGGGCAACCUGCUCCCGGCCCUGGGAUAACUCCAAGAAAUCGGGGCUAAUACCGGAUGUUCACCGCUUCCCGCAUGGGUGGUGGUGGAAAGGGUUUCCGGCGGGGGAUGGGCCCGCGGCCUAUCAGCUGGUCGGUGGGGUAGUGGCCUACCAAGGCGACGACGGGUAGCCGGCCUGGGAGGGUCACCGGCCACACUGGGACUGAGACACGGCCCAGACUCCUACGGGAGGCAGCAGUGGGGAAUAUUGCGCAAUGGGCGGAAGCCUGACGCAGCGACGCCGCGUGGGGGAUGACGGCCUUCGGGUUGUAAACCUCUUUCAGCAGGGACGAAGCGCAAGUGACGGUACCUGCAGAAGAAGCACCGGCCAACUACGUG